GGUAAGAUGGCUGAGUGUUAUAAGCGUUAGGCUGUAGUCCUUUUUACAGGGGUUUAAUUCCUCUUCUUACCG
rfam:Egretta garzetta contig98995, whole genome shotgun sequence.